rnacentral:sRNA from 1 species
UGAUAUUAAAUAUAAUUUUGGUGAUUUCAUACCCCCCUUUAAGGUUGGAAGUACAAGCAGAUGUACAGAAAGAACGGUACAGUCUAAGUGGAGAAUCUGGCACAGUCAGCUUGGGAACAGUUAGUGAUAAUGCCAGCACCAAAGCAAUGGCAGGAUCCAUUCUGAAUUCCUACAUCCCAUUGGACAAAGAAGGCAACAGUAUGGAGGUGCAAGUAGAUAUUGAGUCAAAGCCAUCCAAAUUCAGGCACAACAGUGGAAGCAGUAGUGUGGAUGAUGGCAGUGCCACCCGAAGUCAUGCUGGCGGUUCAUCCAGUGGCUUGCCUGAAGGUAAAUCUAGUGCCACCAAGUGGUCCAAAGAAGCAACAGCAGGGAAAAAAUCAAAAAGUGGUAAACUGAGGAAAAAGGGUAACAUGAAGAUAAAUGAGACGAGAGAGGACAUGGAUGCACAGUUGUUAGAACAACAAAGCACGAACUCAAGUGAAUUUGAGGCUCCAUCCCUCAGUGACAGUAUGCCUUCUGUAGCAGAUUCCCACUCUAGUCAUUUUUCUG